UACAGAGGUCCCGAGCGUUGUUCGGAUUCAUUGGGCGUAAAGGGUGCGUAGGCGGCGGGGUAAGUCUGAUGUGAAAUCCUGGGGCUCAACCCCAGAACUGCAUUGGAUACUGCCUUGCUAGAGUACUGGAGAGGAACUGGAAUUUACGGUGUAGCAGUGAAAUGCGUAGAGAUCGUAAGGAAGACCAGUGGCGAAGGCGGGU
rnacentral:rRNA from 1 species